UACGAAGGGGGCUAGCGUUGCUCGGAAUUACUGGGCGUAAAGCGCACGUAGGCGGUCUUUUAAGUCGGGGGUGAAAUCCUGGAGCUCAACUCCAGAACUGCCUUCGAUACUGGAAGACUUGAGUCCGGGAGAGGUGAGUGGAACUGCGAGUGUAGAGGUGAAAUUCGUAGAUAUUCGCAAGAACACCAGUGGCGAAGGCGGUUCACUGGCCCGGUACUGACGCUGAGGUGCGAAAGCGUGGGGAGCAAACAGG
rnacentral:rRNA from 1 species